AGCACUAAUUUUAAUAUUGUAUUAUGCAUUUAUAUUAUUUUACAAACAAAUAUAAAUUAACAUAUAUAAAAUAUAUUUUUAAUGCAGUGACAAUUUUGCAUCCUGUUUACGUAUUACGUAUAUGUGUUUACGAUGAUGUCAUCGCGCAGUGAUGUCACAACGUCAUUUAGCAAGAAAUCAACCUUCCUUUAGCAACUUUCUCUGAAAAUGAGUUUGCAGCAUUGGGACAGAUGGCUGUUUCUGCUGGUGUCUGCUGCGGACGGCCCUGAUUCUGAGCAGUAGUUGUUGUUUUCUGUGUUUUGCAGCUACGGUCGCAUGUACGCAGCAGAUCCGUACGCGGCGGCGCUAGCGGCUUCUCCGGCGGCGGCGGCAGCAGCGUAUGGAGUCGGUGCGAUGGCCACUCUCUACAGAGGAGGAUACAGCCGGUCUCGCCAUAUUAACACACUUCCAGAUCUGCUGUCUCUCUGAACUCCACCAACAGCUGCUGACCUCGGAGGGAAAAAUCCAAUCACACUCUUGGACACACA